rnacentral:tRNA from 1 species
GGUGGGGUACCCAAGUGGCUGAAGGGGCGGGAUUGCUAAUCCUGUAGGGUGGCCAAAAGUCGCCGCGAGGGUUCGAAUCCCUCCUCCACCGCCA